rnacentral:rRNA from 1 species
UGGGGAAUUUUGGACAAUGGACGCAAGUCUGAUCCAGCCAUGCCGCGUGCGGGAAGAAGGCCUUCGGAUUGUAAACCGCUGUCACUGGGGACGAAUUUUGACGGUACCUGGAGAGGAAGACACGGCUAACUACGUGCCAGCAGCCGCGGUAAUACGUAGGGUGCGAGCGUUAAUCGGAAUUACUGGGCGUAAAGCGUGCGCAGGCGGUUAUGUAAGACAGAUGUGAAAUCCCCGGGCUCAACCUGGGAACUGCGUUUGUGACUGCAUAACUAGAGUACGGCAGAGGGAGGUGGAAUUCCGCGUGUAGCAGUGAAAUGCGUAGAUAUGCGGAGGAACACCGAUGGCGAAGGCAGCCUCCUGGGCCAGUACUGACGCUCAUGCACGAAAGCGUGGGGAGCAAACA